rnacentral:rRNA from 1 species
UACGUAGGCAGCGAGCGUUGUUCGGAGUUACUGGGCGUAAAGGGUGUGUAGGCGGUUGUUUAAGUUUGGUGUGAAAUCUCCCGGCUCAACUGGGAGGGUGCGCCGAAUACUGAAUGACUUGGAGUGCGGGAGAGGAGAGUGGAAUUCCCAGUGUAGAGGUGAAAUUCGUAGAUAUUGGGAAGAACACCAGUGGCGAAGGCGGCUCUCUGGACCGUAACUGACGCUGAGGCGCGAAAGCGUGGGGAGCAAACAGG